rnacentral:rRNA from 1 species
UGCUUAACACAUGCAAGUCGAACGCAGCAUCAGGGCUUGCCUUGAUGGCUGAGUGGCAAACGGGUGAGUAACACGUGGGAACUUACCUUUUAGACUGGGACAACCACUGGAAACGGUGGCUAAUACCGGAUACGCCCUGAGGGGGAAAGCAGCAAUGCGCUAAGAGAGAGGCCCGCGGCAGAUUAGGUAGUUGGUGGGGUAAAGGCCUACCAAGCCUGUGAUCUGUAGCUGAUUUGAGAGGAUGAUCAGCCACACUGGGACUGAGACACGGCCCAGACUCCUACGGGAGGCAGCAGUGGGGAAUAUUGGACAAUGGGGGAAACCCUGAUCCAGCAAUGCCGCGUGAAUGAAGAAGGCCUUAGGGUUGUAAAAUUC